AGGUGGGGCUGUGAGGCCAGCAACUCGCACAGUGAGAGGCAAGGCAGAGGCUUUAGGAACGCAGAGCUAGGGGCUGGCAUUUGGCCUAGUCUGAGUGCCUGGGUUCGAGUCUGGCUCCGCUUCCAAAUCCAGCUUCCUGUUAAUGCACACCCUGGGAGGCAGCAUCGAUGGCUCAAGGCCUGGGGUCCCUGCCACCCAGGUGGGAGACCUGGAUGGAGUUCCUGGCUCCUGGCUUCCACCUGGCCCAGUCACAGCUGUUCUGGGUACUGGAGAGGUAAACCAGUGUUCUCUCUCUCGCCCCAUCAGAUCACCUGGCAGCUUGUUAGGCUGCUUCACGCUGUCUCAGGGCUGCCACGUACCGUCCAGCUCCACAAGGACGCACCUGGGCUCCAGCGCCCUGGGGUUCCCGGGUCUGAAGGUCGAUGGGCCUGUGUUCUAAAGCCAAGGACAAACACACAGAUGGCAGUGUCGACGUGGGCCACACAGGCAAGCACGGGCCUCAGCUCUGCUCCCGGAGAACGUCACCGAGACAAACCACGGCUUCGGGGCCACUGGAAAAGGGAUACCCUACCACACUCUGACGCCUGCAGACGUGUGACAGCUCCGUCAGAGGUCUUGGUGACAACAGGAAAGCCGGAGCCGUGGUUUCACGGGCAAUGCAUCUUCUCUGUUUCCAGUGGCGCCUCUUAGAACACGCGACCCUGCGUCCCACGGAACGCGCUUCAAUGGGAACGUCUAAGAGGAAGGCGGUGAGCACCCACGGGGCAAUGAACCAAGCCCGUGCCGUCUAUGGCUUAAAGCCAAACAAGAGCCAAGUGGCCAGGGCUUUAUUGAAGAUGCGGAGAGAAUACUGCCAACCUGCACACACGGGGACUCUAUGCUGAGACACCAAGCAGGACACGGAAAAUCUCCCCUCGUUUAAGCACGUGAAAAGACAUGGAGGGGGCAGGCAUUGCGGCGCACAGGGUUAAGCCACCACUUGGGGCCCCUAUCCAAUCCCAGUUCCUGCUAAUGCGCGAGGGAAAGCAACAGAAGAUGGCCCCAGGAUUUGGGUUUCUGCUAUGCACGUGGAAGACCCAGAUGGAGUUCCUAGCUCCUGGCUAUGUCCUGGCUCAGCCACGGCCGUU
rnacentral:lncRNA from 1 species